rnacentral:rRNA from 1 species
UACGUAGGGUGCAAGCGUUGUCCGGAAUUAUUGGGCGUAAAGAGCUCGUAGGCGGUUUGUUGCGUCGGCUGUGAAAUCCCGAGGCUCAACCUCGGGUCUGCAGUCGAUACGAGCAAACUAGAGUGUUGCAGGGGAGACUGGAAUUCCUGGUGUAGCGGUGAAAUGCGCAGAUAUCAGGAGGAACACCGGUGGCGAAGGCGGGUCUCUGGGCAACAACUGACGCUGAG